rnacentral:lncRNA from 1 species
CUUUCUCGUGAAAUCUAAGAGGGCGAGGACUGUCCUUCCCCUUGUUUACUUUCAUUCUCACUUCACGCAUCUCCCUUAUCCGAGUGUCCUCGUCCUCGCCUUUAGCAAAAGGUGAAGUUCUCCCUUGUUCUCAUAUGCAGUCGCCGUCCUCAUGCAUCCGAACAUUGCUUCGCUAGCAUUCAGGGCGAGGACUCUUCAACGGGCGAGGACUGUGCCUCUGGUCUUUGCGUCUUAUUCUUGCUUACUUACUUCGUCUUUUCCUUUGUCCUCGCCUGUAGCAGGGGGCGAGGUUCUUCUUCUUCGUUUCAAAGCUUCUCCGAGCUACUCAACGGUCGGCUUCCCUUGAAGAGUCGCGACCUUUCUCUGAAAACGAGUUCAGAAUACAAAGAGUUCAGACGUACCUCCUCCGGGACAGUAGGGACCCCGUCUACUUAAAUCCCAGGCAUCCAGGACAGUAGGGACAUCAUCUACUUGAAUCCCAGGCAUCCAGGACAGUAGGGACAACAUCUACUUAAAUCCUAAGCAUCCAAGAAGGUGGGUCAUCGCCCUCCACCUCACUUGGGGACGAACAACCUCCGGGACAGUAGGGAAAUCAUCUACUUAAAUCCCAGGCAUCUAGGGCAGUAGGGACAACAUCUACUUAAAUCCUAGGCAUUAAUAGCAUGCUUACAUGAUAGGCACCCAAGAAGGUGGGUCGUCGCCCUCCACCUUACUUGGGGACGAACAACCACCCCCGAGUCUUGGGAGUCGAGACAGUAG